CAGUCGCCGCGGUAAUACGAAGGGGGCUAGCGUUGCUCGGAAUGACUGGGCGUAAAGGGCGCGUAGGCGGCGAUCAAAGUCAGGCGUGAAAUUCCUGGGCUCAACCUGGGGGCUGCGCUUGAUACUUGGUUGCUUGAGUGGGGAAGAGGGUCGUGGAAUUCCCAGUGUAGAGGUGAAAUUCGUAGAUAUUGGGAAGAACACCGGUGGCGAAGGCGGCAACCUGGUCCUUGACUGACGCUGAGGCGCGAAAGCGUGGGGAGCAAACAGGAUUAGAGACCCCAGUAGUCCCUGUCUCUUAUAC
rnacentral:rRNA from 1 species